AGGGUACCUGCAAGUGUUCGCUUGUCAGAGAGUACCAAAAACACGAGCAAAGGCGGCUGCCUGCAGGAGACUGGCAGGCAGGGCACGAGGGAGGUUUUCACUAUAUACCGAUUCCCAAACCGCCAGUUACAAAAUUUUUCUCUGGAAGCCUCAGUGGUCCAGGCUGAGCUAACGAACCCUAAGGACAACACGACCAACCAUUCAACUGCUACAGAUACACAGGAGCAUCAGCCAGGAGAAAGGGAGCCCAAAGGGGAAUGGAUGUGCUCUGGGCCACACAGAGGCUCCUGCUUGAGUUGGCAAAUCAAGAUUUCUGGCUGCUGCCAAGUAGGUCUCCCUCCUGGCCUGGACAUCGCCUCCACCAGACCUGUGGGAUGUGACUGCCUCGCACAUGUCGCAAAUGAGUAUGACACAGAACGGCCUAACGUGACGAUUCUGGAGUCCGAUGAGGUUGGGUUCAGACCCUGCCUCUGCCCUCGCAGUAAAGCUGGCAGACAUCUAGAGAGACAGGAACCUGGUGGAAGAAACGAGAGCUGCAGUGGGAGAGGUGAGAGCACUUGUAUGGCCCAAGCCACCAGCGGUGGGCCCUCCUCAAAGCCAGACUGGAGGGCAAGGCCGGCUGGGGUCGGGGCUGGCUCUGCCGCUUGCUAGCAAGGUCCUCUUGGACAAGUCAAUUCAGCUUCUUCAUGUAAAACUGUAUCUCCCUUGAGGGAGCUGAAAGAGUAGAUGAGCAAAUGCAUAUAAAGGACUUAGCACAACA